rnacentral:rRNA from 1 species
AUGGCCAGGGCGACCACACCGUCACCGACCCGGUGGCCGUCGUGGGGCGCAGCCAUUGGGGCCUCCGCGGCGUCGCAAUCCUUCAACCGUCGCGUCACUCUCCCAGCCGCCGCGGCCGGCGGCAUCUGCUCGCAGCCACGCCGCCAUCCCAGCAUCAACAGCCUCCCAGCCGUCCACCUCUCUGUGGUCUCCCGCAGUCGCGGCUGGGCCAAGAGGGCCUGCUCGUGCUCGCCAACGACGCACCCGGGCUCCUUCCGCUGCGCGCUGCACCGGGGGGAGUCCCCGGUGCCAGUGUCGAGCCGGCUGCAUGACGUGAGGCGAUCGGCGAGGGCCAACUCGCUGGUGCGCACCGGUUCGGUCGAGGGUGGAGACCGCGUCAGGCGCGCGCUGGCCGCCCUCGCCCGCCCUUCCUCACACCACCAGCGCCGCCGCGCCUCCUUCCGCGCCCUUGCCUAUUAA